rnacentral:rRNA from 1 species
GACGAACGCUGGCGGCGUGCUUAACACAUGCAAGUCGAACGGAAAGGCCCUGCUUUUGUGGGGUGCUCGAGUGGCGAACGGGUGAGUAACACGUGAGUAACCUGCCCUUGACUUUGGGAUAACUUCAGGAAACUGGGGCUAAUACCGGAUAGGGGCUCCUGCUGCAUGGUGGGGGUUGGAAAGUUUCGGCGGUUGGGGAUGGACUCGCGGCUUAUCAGCUUGUUGGUGGGGUAGUGGCUUACCAAGGCUUUGACGGGUAGCCGGCCUGAGAGGGUGACCGGCCACAUUGGGACUGAGAUACGGCCCAGACUCCUACGGGAGGCAGCAGUGGGGAAUAUUGCACAAUGGGCGGAAGCCUUAUGCAGCAACGCCGCGUGCGGGAUGACGGCCUUCGGGUUGUAAACCGCUUUCGCCUGUGACGAAGCGUGAGUGACGGUAAUGGGUAAAGAAGCACCGGCUAACUACGUG